rnacentral:rRNA from 1 species
UUCGGGACUGGUGCACAGGUGCUGCAUGGCUGUCGUCAGCUCGUGUCGUGAGAUGUUGCGUUAAGUCGCGCAACGAGCGCAACCCCUGUCCUUAGUUGCCAUCAUUAAGUUGGGCACUCUAAGGAGACAAACCCUCUCUGAGGGUGGGAAGGUGGGGAUGACGUCAAGUCAGGAUGGCCCUUACGGCCUGGGCUGCACACGUACUACAAUGCUCGGCACAGAGGGAAGCAAUACCGCGAGGUGGAGCAAAUCCUCAAAACCGAGCCCAGUUCAGAUUGUAGUCUGCAACUCGACUACAUGAAGUUGGAAUCGCUAGUAAUGGCGCAUCAGCUACGGCGCCGUGAAUACGUUCCCGGGCCUUGUACACACCGCCCGUCACAUCAUGAAAGCCGGUUUCGCCCGAAGUAUGUUUGCCAACCCGCAAGGGAGGCGGCGUCCUAAGGUGAGGCUGGUGAUUGGGAUGAAGUCGUAACAAGGUAACCGUAGGGGAACCUGCGGC